GAUGAACGCUGACAGAAUGCUUAACACAUGCAAGUCUUUGGCGAAGCUGUGCUUGCACAGCCUAGCCAAGGCGGACGGGUGAGUAACGCGUAAGGAACUUGCCCUGCAGUCAGGGAUAACAGACGGAAACGACUGAUAAGACCUGGUAAAGUCAGGCGGACUCAUGUCCAGCCUGAUGAAAAGAGAUGCUGCAGGAGAGCCUUGCGUCCUAUUAGCUUGUUGGUGGGGUAACGGCCCACCAAGGCGAUGAUAGGUAGCCGGCCUGAGAGGGUGGACGGCCACAAGGGGACUGAGAUGCGGCCCUUACUCCUACUGGAGGCAGCAGUGGGGAAUAUUGGACAAUGGGGGCAACCCUGAUCCAGCAAUUCUGUGUGCACGAUGAAGGUUUUCGGAUUGUAAAGUGCUUUCAGCAGGGAAGAAAAAAAUGACGGUACCUGCAGAAGAAGCGACGGCUAACUACGUG
rnacentral:rRNA from 1 species